UGCAAUCUUUUUCAUUCUUAUGUCUAUGGGGAGUUCUCCAGCCUCCACGUGGAGAUUUGGGAUUGGUGAUGUACGCAGCGCGCCGAGACAGAGCCGCAGGGCAGCAUUUUGUGUGAGCUCCACUAUUUUUAGAUACGAUUUCCUAGCUGCUCCAUAUAUAAUGGAUCCAUAGUCUAACUUGGAUAUGAACAGACUCCGAUAUAGCUCUGUCAGCUCCCCAGUCCAUAUGGCUAAAUACUCUGAGUAACGUGGGGCAAAAAGCCCUUCGGGGUAAAAGGCCUUUCUUAAUUUUUGUGCGAAUGGCUUAUUGGAUGAUUCAAAUUAAGACUUCCUGAGAUAGCUUACUUCCGUUCUUUUAAUGCACAUUGAGCUUGAUGUAGUAGCUUUUCAAUUUAUCGUCACAGAUCACUUUGAAUUUUUCUACCUAUCUCACUAUAAGAAAAUGGUAAGAAAUUACCAGAGAAAAACACAAGGCUCGUAUGGACAACAUUCUUGACAGGAGCUUUAAAAGCUAUCGCUGAUGGGAUGCCACUUAACAAUGUCUCCGAAAAAAUUACAUUUAUAAUUAUUAAAUAUUUCACUUAUACUUUUUAAA